rnacentral:rRNA from 1 species
GCAAGUCGAGGGGGAACAGAGAUAGCUUGCUAUCUGCUGACGACCGGCGCACGGGUGCGUAACGCGUAUAGAACCUACCUUUUACCGGGGGUUACCCCAGAGAAAUUUGGAUUAAUACCUCAUAGUAUUGUCAGAUGGCAUCAUUUGACACUUAAACAUUUAUGGGUAAAAGAUGACUAUGCGUUCUAUUAGUUAGUUGGUAAGGUAACGGCUUACCAAGACAUCGAUAGAUAGGGGUCCUGAGAGGGAGACC